AAUGGGUCAGCGACUUAUAUUCUGUAGCAAGGUUAACCGAAUAGGGGAGCCGAAGGGAAACCGAGUCUUAACUGGGCGUUAAGUUGCAGGGUAUAGACCCGAAACCCGGUGAUCUAGCCAUGGGCAGGUUGAAGGUUGGGUAACACUAACUGGAGGACCGAACCGACUAAUGUUGAAAAAUUAGCGGAUGACUUGUGGCUGGGGGUGAAAGGCCAAUCAAACCGGGAGAUAGCUGGUUCUCCCCGAAAGCUAUUUAGGUAGCGCCUCGUGAAUUCAUCUCCGGGGGUAGAGCACUGUUUCGGCAAGGGGGUCAUCCCGACUUACCAACCCGAUGCAAACUGCGAAUACCGGAGAAUGUUAUCACGGGAGACACACGGCGGGUGCUAACGUCCGUCGUGAAGAGGGAAACAACCCAGACCGCCAGCUAAGGUCCCAAAGUCAUGGUUAAGUGGGAAACGAUGUGGGAAGGCCAAGACAGCCAGGAUGUUGGCUUAGAAGCAGCCAUCAUUUAAAGAAAGCGUAAUAGCUCACUGGUCGAGUCGGCCUGCGCGGAAGAUGUAACGGGGCUAAACCAUGCACCGAAGCUGCGGCAGCGACGCUUAUGCGUUGUUGGGUAGGGGAGCGUUCUGUAAGCCUGUGAAGGUGUACUGUGAGGUAUGCUGGAGGUAUCAGAAGUGCGAAUGCUGACAUAAGUAACGAUAAAGCGGGUGAAAAGCCCGCUCGCCGGAAGACCAAGGGUUCCUGUCCAACGUUAAUCGGGGCAGGGUGAGUCGACCCCUAAGGCGAGGCCGAAAGGCGUAGUCGAUGGGAAACAGGUUAAUAUUCCUGUACUUGGUGUUACUGCGAAGGGGGGACGGAGAAGGCUAUGUUGGCCGGGCGACGGUUGUCCCGGUUUAAGCGUGUAGGCUGGUUUUCCAGGCAAAUCCGGAAAAUCAAGGCUGAGGCGUGAUGACGAGGCACUACGGUGCUGAAGCAACAAAUGCCCUGCUUCCAGGAAAAGCCUCUAAGCAUCAGGUAACAUCAAAUCGUACCCCAAACCGACACAGGUGGUCAGGUAGAGAAUACCAAGGCGCUUGAGAGAACUCGGGUGAAGGAACUAGGCAAAAUGGUGCCGUAACUUCGGGAGAAGG
rnacentral:rRNA from 1 species